UACGGAGGGUGCAAACGUUGCUCGGAAUCAUUGGGCGUAAAGCGCACGUAGGCGGGUUUUCAAGUCGGAUGUGAAAUCCCUCGGCUUAACCGAGGACGUGCAUUCGAAACUGUUGACCUUGAGUACGAAAGAGGAUCGCGGAAUUCCCGGUGUAGAGGUGAAAUUCGUAGAUAUCGGGAGGAACACCAGUGGCGAAGGCGGCGAUCUGGGUCGAUACUGACGCUGAGGUGCGAAAGCGUGGGGAGCAAACAGG
rnacentral:rRNA from 1 species